rnacentral:rRNA from 1 species
UACGUAGGGGGCAAGCGUUAUCCGGAUUUACUGGGUGUAAAGGGAGCGUAGACGGUACGCCAAGUCUGAAGUGAAAUGCCGCAGCUUAACUGCGGAACUGCUUUGGAAACUGGCAGUCUCGAGUUGGAGAGAAGUAUGCGGAAUGCGCGGUGUAGCGGUGAAAUGCAUAGAUAUCGCGCAGAACUCCGAUUGCGAAGGCAGCAUGCCGGCUCCACACUGACGCUGAGGCACGAAAGCGUGGGUAUCGAACAGG